rnacentral:rRNA from 1 species
UACAGAGGUCUCAAGCGUUGUUCGGAUUCAUUGGGCGUAAAGGGUGCGUAGGCGGCGCGGUAAGUCGGGUGUGAAAUCUUGGAGCUUAACUCCGAAACUGCAUUCGAUACUGCCGUGCUUGAGGACUGGAGAGGAGACUGGAAUUUACGGUGUAGCGGUGAAAUGCGUAGAUAUCAGGAAGAACACCUAUGGCGAAGGCAGCUCUCUGGGACGGUACUGACGCUGAGACGCGAAAGCGUGGGGAGCGAACAGG